GGUUCCAUAGUGUAGCGGUUAGCACAUCUGUUUUACAAGCAGAAGGUUCUGGGUUCACACCCCAGUGGAGGCA
rnacentral:tRNA from 1 species